CUCCCCUCUUUGUCCUAUCCUAGAUGGACACAUCUGUCACUUUUAAGUCCCUAUUGCUCAUCUGUCACGGUCCACAACCAAGAAGAGACAAGGGAAGGGGCCAGAUGAAUGUUCUGCCACCAAGAGGAAGACUUUGACAUUUAAAAAAUUCUCCAUCUCUCUCCAAGUGUCCCAUCCCCAACUCAGAAAUAAUAAUAAUGAAAAAUCCAUGAAGAGGACAUUAAUAUGUUGCAGAUGAAGACACUGAGGCUUGGAGAACUUAAAUUGCCCAAAGAGCUUCUCACACCUGACUCUCAAGACCCUUGAAAGCCUGGUCUCCAUCUGCUUCUGCAAUCUCAUCUCCCAGUGGUGCCCUCCUAGAAUCCUCCAUGGCAGUUGCCAUGGACUCCCAGGUUGAAGGUCACAUAACCUUAGCAUGCCCAGAUAAACCAAGUAUGCAACCACACGGGGAACCUAAGUGCUCAGACCAAGGAGCAGGAACUGAAUUAAGACACGGACACCACAUGGCAGAAUCCAAGAUCCAAUCAGAUCGAGCUCUGGAAUCACCCCAUGGUGGAAGCCAGUCAGAUCAUUCCUCUUGGCAUCACCUCAUUGCAAGAUCCAAUCAGAUCACGUCUCAUUACCCUAUCCUUAUAAAACCGGACAGACCUCAGCUCAGGAAGGCACUGCUUUGGGAGCUAUCACCCCUAUUUUCCUUAAUUACUUCAAGUAAUAAAA
rnacentral:lncRNA from 1 species